rnacentral:rRNA from 1 species
GAUGAACGCUGGCGACGUGCCUAAUACAUGCAAGUCGAGCGAACAGAUGAGGAGCUUGCUCCUCUGACGUUAGCGGCGGACGGGUGAGUAACACGUGGAUAACCUACCUAUAAGACUGGGAUAACUUCGGGAAACCGGAGCUAAUACCGGAUAAUAUAUUGAACCGCAUGGUUCAAUAGUGAAAGACGGUUUUGCUGUCACUUAUAGAUGGAUCCGCGCCGCAUUAGCUUGUUGGUAAGGUAACGGCUUACCAAGGCAACGAUGCGUAGCCGACCUGAGAGGGUGAUCGGCCACACUGGAACUGAGACACGGUCCAGACUCCUACGGGAGGCAGCAGUAGGGAAUCUUCCGCAAUGGGCGAAAGCCUGACGGAGCAACGCCGCGUGAGUGAUGAAGGUCUUCGGAUCGUAAAACUCUGUUAUUAGGGAAGAACAAAUGUGUAAGUAACUAUGCACGUCUUGACGGUACCUAAUCAGAAAGCCACGGCUAACUACGUG